ACUCCACCAAUGCCACCAAGCCCUCCGAUGCCGCCAACGCCAAGCCCGCCGACGCCGCCAAGCCCGGCCCCUGGAGAGCCAGGAGCGGGCUGCCCUGCCUACAGGCUGAGCUCAGCGGGGUGCAAAGAGGCAUCCGACCCAGAUGUCACACUCACCUGCCCCAGCUGUGACACCACCACCAGUGAGCCCGCCAGGACCUGCAGCAAAGAAAGAGCAGUUAAGGGUGCGCCCCUCCCAGAGAGCCAGUCCUCACUGCCAGGGUCCUGAGCCCCAGGGGUGAGCCCCCCUGGGGACCCCACGCUCGAGGUCUCUCUGGCUCCCCACCUCCAGUCAGCUCUCUCCACUCACUGCCCAUGUGUGUGACCUGGGCCUGAGGUAAACUGAGGCAGACGCUCUGCUCAGAUGGUCUGUGACUAUCAAGCCCAGCGCCUGCAAGGAAGGAGAGAGGGGACCAGCUGACUGCGGCCCCGGGACCCUGCCGGCCCAGCCCUCUUCCUU